AUUGAACGCUAGCGGGAUGCUUUACACAUGCAAGUCGAACGGAGUGGCGGACGGGUGAGUAAUGUAUCGGACCGUGCCCUAUAGCGGGGGAUAACUACUGGAAACGGUGGCUAAUACCGCAUACUAUUGGCUUAUCCCAUGUGGGAUUGGCUAGUAGGUGGGGUAAAGGCUCACCAAGGCAACGAUCACGAGCUGGUUUGAGAGGAUGACCAGCCACACUGGGACUGAGACACGGCCCAGACUCCUACGGGAGGCAGCAGUAGGGAAUCUUCCACAAUGGGGGAAAGCCUGAGGCAGCCAUGCCGCGUGUAUGAUGAAGGCCUUCGGGUUGUAAAGUACUUUUAGUAGAGAAGCGGUACCUACAGAAGAAGCAACGGCUAACUACGUGCCAGCAGCCGCGGUAAUAC
rnacentral:rRNA from 1 species